rnacentral:rRNA from 1 species
GACGAACGCUUGCGGCGUGCUUAACACAUGCAAGUCGAACGGAAAGGCCCUGAUUUUGUGGGGUGCUCGAGUGGCGAACGGAUGGGUAACACGUGAGUAACCUGCCCUUCACUUUGGGAUAACUUCAGGAAACUGGGGCUAAUAACGACUAGGAGCGCCUGCUUCAUGGUGGGGGUUGGAAAGUUGCGGCGGUUGGGGAUGGACUAGCGGCUUAUCAGCUUGUUGGUGGGGUAGUGGCUUACCAAGGCUUUGACGGGUAGCCGGCCUGAGAGGGUGACCGGCCACAUUGGGACUGAGAUACGGCCCAGACUCCUACGGGAGGCAGCAGUGGGGAAUAUUGCACGAUGGGCGGAAGCCGGAUGCAGCAACGCCGCGUGCGGGAUGACGGCCUUCGGGUUGUAAACCGCUUUCGCCUGUGACGAAGCGGGAGUGACGGUAAUGGGUAAAGAAGCAACGGCUAACUACGUG